rnacentral:tRNA from 1 species
GGGGCAGUGGCCUAAUUGGCAAGGCACCGGUCUCCAAAACCGGCGAUUCCAGGUUCGAGCCCUGGCUGCCCCG